AGCUUUGUUGUUUAAACAGCUUUGUUGUUUUUUUAGACGAGGCUUUCGCGCCAUUCAGAUCCGUCCCGCUGUUAUUCGCUCCAGUUGGUGGCUCAAACACUGCUUUGGUCAACCAUGUCAUUGCCAAGCAUCAUGGGAUAGAGGAUACGUCACAUUGUUUAAUUGUAUGCAUGAUGAGCAAAUGUCGAUCUCUUAAUUUUGACAAGUUGGAAAAAAUUUGCGAAGUCAAUGACGUCACCAAAGACGAAUAUCCGCGCGACUUGACAGCGAAGGCUGGGUUCCAGUAUUAUCAUCCGAUGAGACAGCCUUUGGUUGUUAACAAGGGACGUAAUUAGGUUGGUCUGAGAUUUUUACUUUUGAAAACCUAAACAGAAAAUGAGCUACAUUUAUUAUAACAACUUAAAUGUGAAUUUAUUAAAUUUGAAGGUGCAUGAAUUAAAUAAACAUAUUUAUCUAUCUUAAUUAAUAAGUAACUUUGUUUAUUAUUAAAAACAUAAUAUAAUAAAAAUAUGCAGUAAUAACCC